CGUCGGUCUCCCCGCACCACAAAUCCGUGAAUCCCGUCAGGCCCGGAAGGGAGCAGCGGCAGCGGAGGCGUGGGUGACGGGAUCGGGCGGUCGGGG
rnacentral:SRP_RNA from 1 species